rnacentral:rRNA from 1 species
AUAUCAAUAAGCGGAGGAAAAGAAACUAACAAGGAUUCCCCUAGUAACUGCGAGUGAAGCGGGAAAAGCUCAAAUUUAAAAUCUGGCGGUCUCUGGCCGUCCGAGUUGUAAUCUAGAGAAGUGUUAUCCGCGCUGGACCGUGUACAAGUCUCCUGGAAUGGAGCGUCAUAGAGGGUGAGAAUCCCGUCUUUGACACGGACUGCCAGGGCUUUGUGAUGCGCUCUCAAAGAGUCGAGUUGUUUGGGAAUGCAGCUCAAAAUGGGUGGUAAAUUCCAUCUAAAGCUAAAUAUUGGCGAGAGACCGAUAGCGAACAAGUACCGUGAGGGAAAGAUGAAAAGAACUUUGGAAAGAGAGUUAAACAGUACGUGAAAUUGCUGAAAGGGAAACGCUUGAAGUCAGUCGCGUUGGCCGGGGAUCAACCUUGCUUUUGCUGGGCGUACUUUCCGGUUGAUGGGUCAGCAUCAAUUUUGACCGUUGGAUAAAGUCUAGGGGAAUGUGGCAUCUUCGGAUGUGUUAUAGCCCUUGGUCGCAUACAACGAUUGGGAUUGAGGAACUCAGCACGCCGCAAGGCCGGGUACUUGUACCACGUUCGUGCUUAGGAUGCUGGCAUAAUGGCUUUAAUCGACCCGUCUUGAAACACGGACCAAGGAGUCUAACAUGCCUGCGAGUGUUUGAGUGGAAAACUCGGACGCGUAAUGAAAGUGAAAGUUGAGAUCCCUGUCGUGGGGAGCAUCGACGCCCGGACCAGACCUUUUGUGACGGAUCCGCGGUAGAGCAUGUAUGUUGGGACCCGAAAGAUGGUGAACUAUGCCUGAAUAGGGUGAAGCCAGAGGAAACUCUGGUGGAGGCUCGUAGCGAUUCUGACGUGCAAAUCGAUCGUCAAAUUUGGGUAUAGGGGCGAAAGACU